rnacentral:misc_RNA from 1 species
GGGUCGUAACAAGGUCUCCGUUGGUGAACCAGCGGAGGGAUCAUUACUGGAAUCGCAAGAUCCCACAACCCUGUGAACCUACCGAAACGUUGCCUCGGCGGGUGCCCGGCCUCUGCGCCGGGCGCUGCGCCCGCCGGCGGCCCCCUACUCUGUCUCUGCAGCGUGGCAUCUCAGAGUCCCAGAAAACAAGUCAAAACUUUCAACAACGGAUCUCUUGGCUCUA